UAUGUGAUCGUCUCUCGCAUAUCAAUAAGCGGAGGAAAAGAAACUAACAAGGAUUCCCCUAGUAACGGCGAGUGAAGCGGGAAGAGCUCAAAUUUGAAAUCUUAAAGGGUUUCCCUUUACGAAUUGUAGUUUAAAGAAGUGUUUUCUGUUGAGGUUUUGGUAAAAGUUCUUUGGAAUAGGACAUCAUAGAGGGUGAGAAUCCCGUAUUUGACCUUUACUUUCAACUUUGUGAUACACUUUCAAAGAGUCGGAUUGUUUGGGAAUGCAGUCCAAAAUGGGUGGUAAAUUUCAUCUAAAGCUAAAUAUUGGCGAGAGACCGAUAGCGAACAAGUACCGUGAGGGAAAGAUGAAAAGAACUUUGAAAAGAGAGUUAAACAGUACGUGAAAGUUGUCAAAAGGGAAGCGUUUGACACCAGUGUUGUUUUUCUGAAAAUCAAUUAAAGAACUGUUUAUGCUAAGCUGUUUAGACUUUAUCAGCUAACUGUUUAGUUUUGAGCUUUUCUUUAAUGCACUUUUCAGUUAACAAGUCAACAUCAAUUUCUUUUGCUGUAAAAAAGCUUGAGGAAGGUGGCUUGAGAUUCGUCUUAAGUGUUUAUAGCCUCUUGCCUAUGCAGUCGGAGAGAUUGAGGUCUGCAGCGUAGAUCCUUCGGGGCUAAAUGCAUUUGUGCUAAGUUAUAACAUUUUAUAGACAACUUGUUGACUAUGAUUUGUCUUGUAGCUUACUCGCUUAUGUUAUUUUACCUACGCUUAGGAUGUUGAGUAGCGACAUACGCAC
rnacentral:rRNA from 1 species